CACACCGCCCGUCACACCAUGGAGUUUGUUGCACCAGAAGCAGGUAGCUUAACCGCAAGGGGGGCGCUUGCCACGGUGUGGCCGAUGACUGGGGUG
rnacentral:rRNA from 1 species